AAGAGCCGUGUGAUCGGAGACGAUCAAGCACGGUUCCGUGGGAGCCCGAGGGUGAGACCCCCUCGGGCGACCCGAC
rfam:Catenulispora sp. 13_1_20CM_3_70_7 13_1_20cm_3_scaffold_2854, whole genome shotgun sequence.